GUUAAAUCAGAUCCCCUUUUUUAGUAUUCAUCGACCAAUGUGUUAAAUUAGAUCUCACUUGUAGUAUCCAUGGAUCAAUGUGUAGAAUUUGGCGGCGAUCAAUUAUUAAAGUUUCAGAAUUUUGAUUGCAGGAGCUGAUUUUUUGGUGUUCAGACAUUCAGAGAUUGCUGGAAGUGUUAUACUUCCUUCAUUUGGGGAGCACAAGACUUCAGUUGUCGAAGUGGCUACAACUAAUUGCAAGUAUAUAAACAAGGUAGUGAUCAGGGAGUGUUCUAUGAUGUGACGUGACAGGAAAGAUCCUGAUGAAGUGCUUCCUUUAUGGAAUGCCUAUCUGAAGUUUGGACUAAGAGACAUGCUUUAAUUGGCUUAGUAAAAAAUACUUGCUAAAGAGCAAUAAGAUUAAAAGUAGAUGUUUUUAUUGUAGAUUAGGAUAUGUGUGUUCCGCCACCGGUUCGACUUCUCAUAUUAGAAGGCAACCAGUUAGUUCAUAUAUUACUACUUUGCACUAUUGUAGAGGGAUAAUGAGGGAUUGAGAGGCUACUACUAUUUGUAUUGCUGUCGAUGCUUGCACAAUGCUACUGCUUAUUAUACUUGGGUAUUUAUCUUUGGAAUAAAAAACAAUCAUUUUCUCCCUUCAA